GGCUUAACUCUGGACUGCGUUGAGAACUGCAUAACUAGAGUAACUGAGGGGCAACCGGAAUUCCAGGUGUAGGGGUGAAAUCUGUAGAUAUCUGGAAGAACACCAAUGGCGAAGGCAGGUUACCAGCAGAUUACUGACGCUGAGGUGCGAAGGUGCGGGGAGCAAACAGGAUUAGAUACCCUGGUAGUCCGCACAGUCAACGAUGUACACUUGGUGUCUGGGCAAGAGCCUGGGUGCCGAAGCAAACGCGAUAAGUGUACCGCCUGGGGAGUAUGCCCGCAAGGGUGAAACUCAAAGGAAUUGACGGGGGCCCGCACAAGCGGUGGAGCAUGUGGUUUAAUUCGAUGGUACGCGAGGAACCUUACCUGGGUUUGACAUACACAGGAAUUAUUUAGAGAUAAGUAAGCGUAGCAAUACGUCUGUGAACAGGUGCUGCAUGGCUGUCGUCAGCUCGUGCCGUGAGGUGUCGGGUUAAGUCCCAUAACGAGCGCAACCCUUAUCGUUAGUUGCCAGCGGGUAAUGCCGGGAACUCUAACGAAACUGCCGGUGUAAACCGUGAGGAAGGUGGGGAUGACGUCAAAUCAGCACGGCCCUUAUGUCCAGGGCUACACACGUGUUACAAUGGCCGGUACAGAGGGCAGCUACCUAUUGAUAGGAUGCGAAUCUCGAAAGCAUGUCUCAGUUCGGAUUGGAGUCUGUAACUCGA
rnacentral:rRNA from 1 species